GCGCGGGUGGCGGAAAUGGCAGACGCGCUAGCUUGAGGUGCUAGUGCCCUAACGGGCGUAGGGGUUCAAGUCCCCUUUCGCGCA
rnacentral:tRNA from 1 species